GGGAAGGGGUGACUAGUGGCAGAGUGAGGGAAGGAAGGGGUGACUAGUGACAGAGUGAGGCAGGUGGUGACUGUCACUAGUCACCCCCUCCCUCUCUCUGUCACUAGUGACACCCUCCCUCACUCUGUCACUAGUGACACCCUCCCUCACUCUGUCACUAGUCACCCCCUCCCUCUCUCUGUCACUAGUCACACCCUCCCUCUCUCUGUCACUAGUCACCCCCUCCCUC